CAGCCUCCAGCAAUGCAGCGUGAGGGCAUCAGGAAGACAUGGAGCCCACAGCAAGCAGAGUACACAGCAGGGUGAGAGUCAGAGAAGAAACAGGAGAGAACUGUGAAAACGUGAUGCCUGCAGAGAUUCAGGCUGAGGGCUUUUUCUUUGGGUUGUUCUGCA
rnacentral:sRNA from 7 species